AUAGCGUAUAUUAAAGUUGUUGCAGUUAAAAAGCUCGUAGUUGAACUUCAGGCCUGGUCGGGCGGUCUGCCUCACGGUACGUACUGUCUGACCGGGUCUUACCUCUUGGUGAGCCGGCAUGCCCUUUACUGGGUGUGUCGGGGAACCAGGACUUUUACUUUGAGAAAAUUAGAGUGUUCAAAGCAGGCCUAUGCCCGAAUACAUUAGCAUGGAAUAAUAAAAUAGGACGUGCGGUUCUAUUUUGUUGGUUUCUAGAGUCGCCGUAAUGAUUAAUAGGGAUAGUUGGGGGCAUUAGUAUUCAGUUGCUAGAGGUGAAAUUCUUGGAUUUACUGAAGACUAACUUCUG
rnacentral:rRNA from 1 species